GUUCAGAAGCCCCUUAGUGGAAAAUAGCCCCCUCCAUCUCAUCGGGAAGGAGACUCUGGGGUGCCUUGGAAAGAAAUGUGAAUGAAUAUUCUGAGAGGGGAGUGCCCAAAGAAACCAUAGGAGUAUGGGAGAUCCAGAGGCUUAUUUAGAAUCCCUCCUAGCAACUAAAGGAAGAGUCUAUCAACAUGAGGGUGGCAAUGGCAGUUUCUCUAUACAAUAAAUAAGUCGAGAGGACAUUAGGAGUCACCUGGGUUCAACCUACUACUGACGGCAAAAAUCCUUUGUGUAGAUGAUGGAUGAUCACCCAGGCUUUGCUUGGCUGCUCCCAGUGACAGAGAGCUCAUUACCUCGUGACCAUCUUUGGAGACCUGUAAUUGUUAAAAAGUUCUUUUUUUUAAUGUCAAGUUGGAUGUUGCCUCACUAA